CUCCAUUUUAGAAAGGCUCCAUCUCUGUUUUCUGCCAUUUACUCAUGUUCUAUAUUUUGCCUCUGAAUGGACAAAUAAACUAUGUUCCCACUUCAAGGGGAAAGCAAACAAAAGUUAAUCAUUCUCUGAGUUUUGUCCUAGGCUCCAAACACCUGAUAACAUCUAAGAAGAGCCAGAUUCCAAACAUGUUCCAGGAUGUUAGCUUCGAACAAACGUUGCCUGAUGCUGGUUUCAACAUUCCAUAGUGUGUUCAGUGACUAAUGAAAUGACACCUGCUAUUUACAUGACACUCACCCUACCCUGGAUUCCUGAAGAAACAUGUGCCCUAGAUCCCUUUCCAAUAAAAACUCCAAACCCUUCAGCAACCACAAGACUCAUUCUCCUUUCCUUUCUGAGUCUCCCAGACAGGACUACUGCUAUUCUGUGUCACAUAUGCUAUUCAAUAAACUCUGCUUUCACUUUCUCUGGCUCACAUUUGAUUUGUAUCCUGCAUGAAGCCAAAGACCCUCUUGACCGAUCCUGUGAGAUGUCUCUCCAGGUCCUUCGACCCAGCCUGCCUGCAUCAUAAGGAGUUGGGGACUGGAAACAUUGACACUGGGAUACUGUGACUUAUCUGUACAUACAAACAGAACAUUCUGAAACGAGGAGAUGGAAUUCAAUUCUCAGAACUUGACAAGCUACCAGGUAUGAGGACUCAACCCACAAUGUACUACUUCUGAGCCUGGAACUGGGAGAGAGUCAGCAAACAGGAGAAUGCACCACGGGGAAUAUACUUUGAUGCAGGUGACAGGAAUAGCAGCAGCAGCAUCAAAGAAUUUCCAAGGGCAGCAAUAGCAGUAUCCAGGGUUAGGCAACAAGAUAAGGCAGGUCUGCAAGCUGAGUGCAGGACUUAGCAGCAGCAGUGUGUGCACCACCUGAUUCUGUGGGCAGAUUUCUUUGUUCUCUAUAGUCCUUGUUGCUGCGUAACUCCCGUUCUGUCAAUUCUUUUAAGAAAUUCACGGUCUUAAGUCCACCAACAUUUUUCUUGCUUAAAAAUAAGGUCUGAUUAAAGAUUAAUUUCAAGUGAGCCUAUAUCUCUCCGCAGUAGGGUAUGUGUAUGUGAGUGUAGACAAAAGAGGGCCUUCUAAGAAUAAAUGGAAGCUUUAAAGCCUUUUGGUGUAUAAAAUGCUCACAUAAAACAAUCCAAACUUUUUCAUUCCCUUUUAUGGCUCAAAUCUGACCUAGCUUAUGUCCAAUAGGAUUCUGGAAACCAGUUGUUCAGCCCAGGAUACAUGUAUUUCUCAAAGUAUACAGAACAAUGUCUAAGACGUAUGUGAGAAUAGAUAGCUUUAAAAUAAUUCAUCACAUACACGUAUAUACACACAUUUAUAAAAUACAUAUGUAAAUCUUGCAAAAUUAAGGUAUUUUAACCACAAAUGGGUACCACUGAUAUCUAUCUCUUCUCCAUCACCAUUCUCCUUGUGUGUCAGAUGACUUUGGAGUAGCCCCAAGUGUUUCUAAGAUUUGGUGAUCAGAGUUGAAGUAAGUGAUAGAGAUAAACUUGGCUUGGGUUUAACAGAAUAUAUUAUGGGGUUUGCAGUCACUUUCUUAUAUUGCGAAGUUAUUAGUAGUCCUCACAUGAUAGUUUCCAUAGAUCAUUUCCAGGAAUAUUCAUAGCACACACUGAGUCAACUCAUCUGGUAUUAUGAGGUGCCAGACAAGGAGGCGCAGAGCCAGAGGUCUUUCUAUGAUAUGAAGACACCCUAUGCUGUCUAGCAACAAAAGCUGUGUUAUUGGAGCAGAAAGAAAGGUUUUAAAUUUAGGGACCCAGGAGCUUGCCUUCUCUGGAGAAUUUUUCCACUUGUUAGAUGUGUGAAACUAUAAGAUGACUAUUCACCUGUGUUCCUCAUCAAUAUCCAGUCAAAAUUGAAAUUCUCUUCUGUCAGGAAUAUACAUAUAAUGCAACACAGGUGAUUAUAAUACACCACAUAUUUUCUUCUUUAUGAUGACAAUCACACAAAAUAGAUUUGUCAGAACUUCUGUUUUUGUAGGUCACAAACCUGUAACAGCUCUAAAAAUGGCAAAUAGGUCUGCAUGAAGUUACAGAUGAAAGAAAGUUUUCUCCCCAAAUAUGCCAAUUAAUGUAAAAAAUUUUAGAUUCUUAAUAAUGAGUUGUGAAGUUAAAAGAAAUUCUUUUAUACCAUCAAAAUUGAUUUUGAUUAACCAUUCUAGAGAAAACACGGACUUAGCUUUCUAUCUUUCUAAAAACUAAUAUUACAAAAUUGUUUGUCAUAUGAAAAGGAGGAUCAAAGAGUGGUGAGGCCAAAAAAUGUGGGCAAAGCAGUGAAAUGUGUCAGGCAGUUAAGAAAUAAAGAGAUUCUGAUGAUUGUUUGGGAUUUUGUAAUGUCUAGUAUUUCUCAGCUUUUAUUUAAAAGUUGUAUUAAAGAAUAAUUGAAGCAUAAUAAAGUAUCCAAUGACGUGUAAUCAUAUAACAUGCUAUCAGUUUUGAAGUAGUAUGCAUCUAUAAAAUAAUUAACACAAUAAGGAUAAUCAGUAUUUCCAUAAUGCCCCAAAUUUUCUUCAUGGUUCUUCGUACUCCACUGUUUUCUCCCUUACAAACAUUUCUUGUCAAAGUGCCACACAAAUAAGUGAAAUCAUCUUAUGGUUUUCCCACCAACUGAACACCAUCAAGUGACUCUGGUAAUAGACAGGUAGAGCAAAAGAGCCAGUCAUCAGGGUAUUGCUCAAAUUCCAGACUUACAAAUUCAUGAGAUAUAAUAAAAUGCCUGUUGUUAUAAGCCAUUGUAUUUUGAGGGUAGUUUAUUAAAUAGCGAUAGAAAUAUAGGCUAUGUGCCACUUGUGUGUCAGCCACAGGACUUACUAAGGUGCUUUGCAUUAUAGAUAGUUGCUAAGUAUUUCAUUAUUAGUUACACCCCCUAGAGUUAUUAAGCAUCAACUAUAUGCCAGAGACAGCACUUUGCACACAUUGUCUCAUCCAGUCCUGACAACAUGAGUUACAAAGCAGUGCCAGUCAAUUAUCCAUUGUCACUCAGCAAUAAAUACACUUUCUAUAGUCUGCCCUGUCCUGUCAUUCUGUGAUCCAGCCACAUGUCAGACUCAUUUUCCAGUUAAGCACUGGUUAGAUUCUAUCAUGAGGAGCUCCCAGA